AGCAGCCCCGGAGCCCGCGGGGAGGGCGGUGCGACCGCCGACCCCGCCCACGGCCUUCACGCCGCCCUGGGGAUGUACCCGGCGGGCGGAAGCCCAGUCCGUCCUCGGGGCCGCGCGUCAGAGAAAAGAACUGAAAUGUUAGCCCAGAUUAUUGGCUCUGAAAGAGCCAGAAAACUCUUUGAACUGAAGUGACCGUCUCAUUUCAGAGUUUGGUCCAGUGUUCCCGGUCAAGCAACCGUCCUGAGAUGCUGUCCUCCAAAUGGUUACCCACGCUCUCUCCAUUGUGGUUCUCCACUCAGCCAGCAGAUGGGGAAAGAAAAAAGAUCACUAGAGAAGAGGCAGGCUUGAAAGGGGAGACAUCGAUUUGGUCCACAUUCCAUUGGCUAGAACUCAGUCAUAUGGCCAAGGAGGCUGGAAAAUGUAGUGAGCUGUGUGCCCAGGAAAAAAAGGAAACACUAGCAAAUAUUCAACUAGUUUUUGCCAGCUGCAAUGGGAGCUAAAUGUUUUCUGGCUUAUUUCCAAUGAAAAUAGAGUGCCUCAGUCCCUGUAUUCUAAGAAAGACAGAGAUUCACCUUGAGUCACAGGCACAUCCCUGAACAGACGAACUGACCAGGGGACUGCAAUGGGCUGAUGGCCUCAAGCCCACCAGAGUCCACCUGUUGAACGAGAGGUGGGGUCGGCUUUCCCUGAAAUGUCUGGACUGCAUGGGAAAGAGAUUCACAGCAGCUAAAUGUACUCAGGACUCUCCGAUUACCACUGUCUUUCCAAUUUGGGACCUGGCUGUCAUCAAUCCAGGGAAAGAUAUUCAGGAAACUUUCCCUUUAAGGUUAGAAGUGCUUUGAAAUCUAGAGCAUAUUCCUGAAACACCAUCGUGUUUCUGGAACAGACCUGUUCAGUGAAGUUUCCCACCCUUCACUACAAGCCCUAAGUGAUGACAGCCCAGUGGGGGUGUGGGGAGAGAGAGAGAGGAUGUACAGAAGAGGGACAGGCAUUCAGAGACAGAAUACUGGUGUUUUGGUCUCUGUUUCCGCACUCCAGCCAGGGGGCGCUUCAGAGUAGAGAUCACCAUCUUUUAAACCUGUCAAGCCUGGACACUACACAUGUGUGCUCAGAGCAAGGCACCAAUUCAACAAACAUUUUAUUUAGGGCUUAUCAUAUUCCAGGCUCUGUUGUUAGGGAAAGCAUCCCCCAGUGAAAGGAUCAACAUAUGGAAAUAAUUUAAAUAUCUAUCUAUCUAUCUAAUGACUAUUAGAAAAACCACAGAAUUAUCUUAAAAGAUGAGCUAGAAUCAUAUGUAUUGACAGGGAAGGAUACUCGAGACUUAUGUUGAGGGGAAAAAGUUUACUAACAGUAACACAGUCUGUAUAGUAUGGUCCCUGUUUUGAUUGUUUUUAAAGUAUAGAUAAAUGAUCAGAGUUGGAUUUACGGCAAGGCUAAGGCUCAGAAGCUCUCACUUGCAGAGAUCUUGUUCAAAACUCUGAACUUAAUUUUGUAUUUUUCAUAAAGAGGGUCUCCAAAAAAGCAUAAGUAUGAGGUCAAAACCUGAAUCAUUCCCUGAUAUUUAUAUACAUGACCAACUUUAUGGCCAACCGUGGUUAUCUCAGGCAGUUGGAAUGCAGAGACUUUCUCUUUUCUAUCAUCCCAAAGAAUGCCUCCUGAAAUUCCUUUAUAGCCAUCCCUUCUCUUACCGGUAACCCCUGGCCAGCCCUCCCUGUGUUUCUACACCUAUCUCUGAGUGAGAUAACUCUUGGGCUUUGUAAACAGAAGUCCAUUAUUCAAAUAGUAGAUACUAUCUCUACCCUUUGUCCCAGCCGACCUAUGGGACACCCUCUCUCAUCAUCUUCCUCCAAGUUCUGCUUUUCCCUGUUUCCCAGUGACCAGUAUCAUGACCUUCCACUUCAUUCCCUUUAACCAAUAUUCCCUUAAUCUCAUAUUGUCUGUUUCUCUCCCACUCUGCUCAUUUUCUGACAAAAAGCAAAGACCAAAAAUUACAUAUAUGUGUUUCUAGAACAGAGACUUUAUUUCUCACUAGUGAUAAAAAUUUUCUAGCACAAUAAAUAUGCCUAAAAUCUACUUAAAACUUAAGACAAAUAAAAAUAGCUAGUAAAGUCCAUAAAACCAACAGCAGUGCUUUAAUUAGAUUAUCGUGCUUUUUUGCAUAUGUUUUCCUUAUGUGGUAAUGUUUGGUGCCCAGAGAGGCUUAGGGCUAUUUACUGCUGUCUAAAAUUGGCUUUUUGGACCAGCUACACUUCCUUAAGCAUCUUCACAUUUUUUUUAUUUUGCAUCACAAAUCAAAAAUGCUACAUUCAGCCAGUAGUUCAGUGCAAUUAGUAGACUGUAAACUAUUUGAUCAUCAUGGAAUCAGUGCAUUAGUUAUCUGUGAUUAAACUUAAUUUAUGUGAAUUGAAUAUGCAAGAAAUAUAAUUUAACUGUACCCUGUAUUAGUUCAAAUUAAGUUCAACUGCAUAUAAUAGUUAGCUGCUUUCUCUUGCAAAGGGAUUUUACAAAUACUAGGCAAUUUGGGGUUGCCGUGGCCAGGUGUCCCAAAUUCUUUAAGAACUCAAUCUCCUUCUGGCUGUCAGCUCUUAUAAUCUCUAAAGUGUGGCCCUGGUAUUCAUGGUCUAGGAAGGUAACUGGCUCUCCAGCCAUCUCAUCUAUGUUCCAGGCUGGCAACAGAUGAGGAAGAAUAAACACAUAAACACUUAAUAAGGAGGCUUCACCCAGAAAUGCUGCACAGUAUUCUCACACCCCUAUGGCAAAUACCCCAACAUCUGACUCAGUGAACUGUUCCUGAGAAUAGGAAAUGUCAUCUUUUAACUGGACUGCAAUGCACCAACUAAAAAUUUGGGAUCUCUUACUAAAGGAAAAGGGGAGAUUAGGUUGAGUGAAGAAAUUUGCAUUCCCUGCCGCGGUCUUAACAUAAAUAAUAUGAUGAUUUAAAGAUGUUAUAUCUCUUCAUAAUACUUUGAAUUCUGUUAAAAGAUAAAGCACAUAAAAACCUUAAUAAAAGUAAAACCUAGUUCAAUCAGUAUAGUGAAUCAUCAGAAUUUAAAUAGAUUCAUAGUGUCAGCAGUGCACAGAUGGGCUGCAUUUGAGCAGAGGUUGUUUGGAAGGAUGCAGAAUACUCAGGAAGCAACCACUUCUUUUCCCUGUCAUUGGGAAACGGGUAAAAGCAGAACUUGGAGGAAGAUGAUGAGAGAGGGUGUCUUAUGGGCUGGCUGGGACAUAGGGUAGAGAUAGUAUCUACUCUUUGAACAGUCGUGGUCAUGAAGAUCUGGAAAGUGCAUAUCAGAUCUGCGUGUUUGACUGUGGAAUUCAGUGCUGGAGGACAGAAAGAAGCAGAAGGUAAGGUUCCUGUCCCAAAAGGCGUUUCCAUUUAGGCUGGGAAACAAGUUCAAUAAAUCCUUCAACUUUUCAUGUAUUCAGUAUACAAGAGCUCUCAAUACAGUGAUAGAAGACAAUCCACAAGUCGGUGUGUGAUUUUUUUUUUCCAGUCAAAUGCAUAGACGAUUGGUGCUGUAAGUGAUUGCAUGUGUUCUGCUGAUGAGGCAGUAAGAGUGUAACUAAAGGAAGAAGAGGUUUGAAAAGGAGUGGGUAAGGAAAUCCAGGUUGCAGAUUGGGGAGUUAACAUUUAUUGAGCUCCGCUCUGUGUCAGGCACUUUGUCAGGUGCUUUAUGUAAUCUGUGGGAUAAUUACUGUUAUUCCAUUUUUCAGAUGAGGAGUCUGAGGCUCACAUCAGUAAUUUCUUGCGGUUGAGCAGCCAGCCAGGAGAGAGAGCAGAAUUUGAAUGCGGGUCUGUCCCAAAAUAUAUGCUGUUUCCAUUACAGAAUUCCACCCCGAUAGGAGUUGGGGUGGGAUAGUGUUGUAUAAAUGUGUUGUCAUCCAAGCCUCACUAGCUGGGAGGUUCUGGAUGAGGUCACAUUUAUAUAUUCAGAUUUCACUAGCUCAAAGUCUGUAUCACUCAUUUAAGAAUUCUGAUUUUCACCCAGUGAAUCCAUCUGCACUACUACCCGCAUUGGCCUCUUCCAUCUGGGAAAACUCGCCCUCACUGACCUUGACUGCUCCAUGCAGAACCCCCCCACCCCACCAUGAUUCUCUCGGUCCUGAGAGUUUAGCAGUUUCUUUUACUGUCAGAAGCCACAGUGAUUCCAUGACAUAGCAGGGUUGAUUGAUUCACUCGAAUAUUUAUCAGGGGCUCUGUGAGAUGGAGAGGUGAGCUAGAGCUCUGAACCUGGCUCUGACACAGAGGCAGGUGUUGGUUUAGUGAGAGAAGGCCAACAAUAAGCAUGAUAAUUGCUAGUUGUGGUAAAUGCUAUUAAGACAAUAAACGGAGCAGUGUGAUAGGAAAUAAUGACAGGCAGUGGGAGGGUGUUAGGGCUUCGAAGGAGACAGCCAUUUCUUUUCAUAAAGCCAGUUUAUUUUUUUUUAAUUCCUUGGAGCAAUCAUUCAUAUCAGGGUAGCUGGGCCAAUAUCAAAUGAAGCAGCAGUUAUGAUGCCUUCCCUGGAGCCAUGAUUCCCCUCUAAAUCCCACGCACAGUGCAGAAUCCUACCAACCUCUCCUUCGUCCCUCCAAUGGUUCUGAAACUUGGCUAAGUUAUCAGAAUCACUGGGAGAUCUUUCAGAAUACCUGGGCUCUGCCUUUAGAGACUAGAGUUAGUUGGUUUGGGAUGGGUUUCAGGCAUGAAUUUUAAAGUUCCCAGGUGAUUCUAGUAUGUAGGCAAGAGUGCAAAUCACUGGUCAGAGCAGUGGUUCUCAAACCACUUGAGCAUCAGAAUUGUCUAGAGGGACUAGUCAUUGCUCUGCUCCCUCGUUUCCAUUGCCUGGCCCAGGGUCAUGGCCUGGGUGCCUCAAGAAACUCACAGUGGCUCCUGAUUUUACGAUGUGUGGUUCUCAUACUUAGGGCAGUGACUCUCAACCUUUAAUGGGCAUAUGAAUCAUCUGGGGAACUUGUUAAAAUGCAGUUCUGAGUGGUUGCCAGUGGCUGGGGCGGGGAUGGGGCGAGAAGGAGAUGGGGAGUUGUUUUCAUGGGUACAGAGUUUCAGUUUCGCAGGAUGGAAAGGCUUCUGGGAAUUGGUUGCACAAAAAUGUGAAUAUACUUAACACUACUGAACUGUACACUUUAAAAAACAGUUAAGAUGGUAAAUUCUGUGUUGUGCAUAUUUUAGCGCAGUUAUUUAAAAGUGCAGAUUCAGUAGGUCUGGGGCAGGGCCUGAGUGUCUGCAAUUCUUAUAAGCUCCGAAGUGGUGCCGGUGGGAACGCAGUUGCAGAAGCAAGGGUUCAGGGUGCAUCAGGAUUACCUGGGGGACUUGGUUUAAUGUAGGCUCUUCGUCCUCAUCUCCGAGAUCUUGAUUCAGCAUGCCUGAGAUGGGGCUCAGGUGUAGCUGCUCUAAACACCCCACUUUAAGAAAUAAUCUUCCAUGGGCUUCACUUCCAAAGGUGAGAUAGAUUAUUUACAGAUGCAAAACUGAGUCUGGCAUUUUAUUUCAUGUUUUAAAUAAGAGUUUCUGUAUGUUUCACAGCUUUAUAAAGUGCAGUGGCUUCCCUAGUUCAGCGGGCUAGGAAUGGAAAAGACGUUCAGCUGCAAGAGGGACUGGCCCCCAGAGUCCAGGGUCGUUGGCAGGCGCUGGGUUGAUGACUGUCAUGGAGCUCCUGGAAUAGCGUGUCCCCCAGCUGAUCAAACCUCAGGGCCGCGCAGUAUGCGAUAUCUGACUGGGUGUUCAGCAGGCCUCCUGUCCUAUCACCAAACCGCCCCCACCCCAGCCCAUCUCCAGUUCAGAGCAAGACCCAACAGCCAACCAACCCAGAUCUACUCCUCGCAAGUCUAUGGAGCCCCAGAAUCAUGCAGAGCUCUAACAGUUACUAUUAACGUGCGUUUGCUCUAUGGCAGCACCUUAGCCCCAUCAUCUCAUGUAAUCCUCUCAACACCCUGUGAGGUAUUUGCUGUUAUUAUCACCAUUUUAUGGGUGAGGAAAUAGAGACUCUGCUAAGUUGAGUAACUUACCCAAAGUCAUAGGGCCAGUGUGUGACAGAGCCAGGAUUUGAAACCAGCUUUGUCUGGCAAAGAUGCCCAGGCUCUUUACACUGUGGAGAAUGGCUUUCCAUGGGCCUGGAAUUUGGGCCAAGAGUGGACUGCAGCUCAGGAGCACUAAUUAGCAUAAGAGCUGUAACCUGUAUGCCUACGGAGAGCCCUCCAUUCAAAGUACGCUUCUCCACGUGGUGAUCAUUUUGCGUUGUACAAAAAUACCAGGGCACUCUGUUGUACACCUGAAACUAAUAUUGUAAGUCAAUUAUACUUUAAUAAACAAACGAAAACAAAGUGAAACUAAUACAAUAUUGUAAGUCAAUUAUGCUUCAAUAAACAAAACCAAAGUGAACUAAUAUAACAUUGUAAGUUGAUUAUACUUCAAUAAACAAACAACAAAGUACACUGACUGUCUUCAACACAUGGCUGUCCACAGCAGAAUUUCUAUUUAGAGUAAUUCGCGCUAAGGGGUAAAUAAGGCUUAGCCUUCCUAGCAAGUAAUGUUUUGAAAAGAGUAACUUAUUAACCUAAAUGGGUCCAUGGUUGAUAGAAAGUGUAAGAGAAAUUCAUGGGGGUGUGCUGGGGGUUGAGUAUGGAGGGACUUUCCUUUAGAUAAGAUCUUUGAAACUGAAAGGGACCAUAUGUCAUCUGGUCCCAUUUUUCGUUGUUUAAAGAUGAGUUUACAUAAAGCAAAUUGACGAUCGAACAUGUUGGUUUGUUUUUUUUUUUAAUUUAUUUUUGGCUGUGCUGGGUCUUCGUUUCUGUGCGAGGGCUUUCUCUAGUUGCGACGAGC